UGGCGGACGGGUGAGUAACACGUGAGAAUUUGCCUUUAGGAGGGGGAUAACAGAGUGAAAACGCUGCUAAUACCCCAUAUGCUUUCGAGUGAAAUGGAUUUAUUCGCCUAAAGAGAAGCUCGCGGCUGAUUAGCUUGUUGGUAAGGUAAUGGCUUACCAAGGCGACGAUCAGUAUCUGGUUUGAGAGGACGAUCAGACACACUGGAACUGAGACACGGUCCAGACUCCUACGGGAGGCAGCAGUGGGGAAUUUUCCGCAAUGGGCGAAAGCCUGACGGAGCAAUACCGCGUGAGGGAUGACUGCCUAUGGGUUGUAAACCUCUUUUCUCAGGGAGGAAAUCAAUGACGUUACCUGAGGAAUAAGCAUCGGCUAACUCCGUGCCAGCAGCCGCGGUAAGACGGAGGAUGCAAGUGUUAUCCGGAAUCACUGGGCGUAAAGCGUCUGUAGUUGGCUUAACAAGUCACCUGUUAAAUCUUGAAGCUCAACUU
rnacentral:rRNA from 1 species